UGAGAAUGAAUGAGUUGCUCUUUGAAAGU
rnacentral:piRNA from 1 species